rnacentral:rRNA from 1 species
UACAGAGGUCUCAAGCGUUGUUCGGAUUCAUUGGGCGUAAAGGGCGCGUAGGUGGCGCGCUAAGUCGGGUGUGAAAUUUCGGAGCUUAACUCCGAAACUGCAUUCGAUACUGGCGUGCUCGAGGACUGGAGAGGAGACUGGAAUUCCUGGUGUAGCAGUGAAAUGCGCAGAUAUCAGGAGGAACACCUAUUGCGAAGGCAGCUCGCUGGGCCGUAACUGACGCUGAGACGCGAAAGCGUGGGGAGCAAACAGG